CAGUCGCCACGGGAAUACGUAGGUGGCAAGCGUUGUCCGGAAUUAUUGGGCGUAAAGCGCGCGCAGGCAGCCUAUCCAGUCUGUCUUAAAAGUUCGGGGCUCAACCCCGUGAUGGGAUGGAAACUAGUAGGCUAGAGUAUCGGAGAGGAAAGCGGAAUUCCUAGUGUAGCGGUGAAAUGCGUAGAUAUUAGGAAGAACACCAGUGGCGAAGGCGGCUUUCUGGACGAAAACUGACGCUGAGGCGCGAAAGCCAGGGGAGCGAACGGGAUUAGAUACCCGAGUAGUCCCUGUCUCUUAUACC
rnacentral:rRNA from 1 species